rnacentral:rRNA from 1 species
AACGAACGCUGGCGGCGCGCCUAAUACAUGCAAGUCGAGCGAGAAGACGUAGCAAUACGUUUGUAAAGCGGCGAACGGGUGAGGAAUACAUGGGUAACCUACCCUCGAGUGGGGAAUAACUAGCCGAAAGGUUAGCUAAUACCGCGUACGCUCCUUGGACUUCGGUUCAGGGAGGAAAGCGAUACCGUGGGUAUCGCGCUCUUGGAUGGGCUCAUGUCCUAUCAGCUUGUUGGUGAGGUAACGGCUCACCAAGGCUUCGACGGGUAGCUGGUCUGAGAGGACGAUCAGCCACACUGGGCACUGCGACACGGGCCAGACUCCUACGGGAGGCAGCAGUAAGGAAUAUUGCGCAAUGGCCGAAAGGCUGACGCAGCGACGCCGCGUGCGGGAGGAAGCUCGUUCGGGGUGUAAACCGCUGUUGCCCCGGAACGAAUGUCAGCUUUCGAGCUGAUUGACGGUACCGGGUGAGG